AACGAACGCUGGCGGCAGGCCUAACACAUGCAAGUCGAACGAAGUCUUCGGACUUAGUGGCGGACGGGUGAGUAACACGUGGGAACAUGCCCUUGGGUACGGAACAACAUCCGGAAACGGAUGCUAAUACCGUAUGAUGACUUCGGUCCAAAGAUUUAUCGCCCAAGGAUUGGCCCGCGUUGGAUUAGAUAGUUGGUGGGGUAACGGCCUACCAAGUCUACGAUCCAUAGCUGGUCUUAGAGGAUGAUCAGCCACACUGGGACUGAGACACGGCCCAG
rnacentral:rRNA from 1 species